GACAGAGGGUGCAAACGUUGUUCGGAAUUACUGGGCGUAAAGCGUGUGUAGGCGGCUUUGCAAGUCGGAUGUGAAAGCCCCGGGCUCAACCCGGGAAGUGCACUCGAUACUGCGAAGCUUGAGUGUCGGAGAGGUUGGUGGAAUUCUCGGUGUAGAGGUGAAAUUCGUAGAUAUCGAGAGGAACACCGGCGGCGAAGGCGGCCAACUGGACGAACACUGACGCUGAGACACGAAAGCGUGGGGAGCAAACAGG
rnacentral:rRNA from 1 species